AAUUAAUGCACAAUCUGGACCAAAAGUGCACGAAGAUCCUCAAUCUCACUGUCCUCGAGAGGAUGGAUCCAUACAUCGAGGAGAUCUUAAUCACCGCUGCUCACGUCACAUUCUACGAGUUCAACGUCGACCUCAAUCAAUGGGUAAAUUCAUGUUUUUAGCUUUAAUUAUGGUUAAUUAUGGUCCCAAUUUUGUUAAUUUUCUAAUGAAUGGAGUGACAAUGUGAAAUGGAUGUUGACUCAUUUUUCACAUCAUAUGCAGUCUAUGCUCGUUCGUAGUUUUGUUCUGCCCUAGCCCACAAGCAACUAAUUCUAUUCUGUCCCAAUUUUCCAGUCCCAAGUUUUGAUUUUUUACAUGUACUAAUUUUGUUGUCAUGAGUAUUUAAUUCACUAGUUUUGAUUUUUAAUCCAUUUUAGGUCACUAGCUGCAAGCAUGGCAAUCCAUAGUCUGUUGUGUUUUUUUAUAUUUUUAAUUUUCUUCGUGUUUUGUUUGUUUUGAUGCUUUUACUCUAUUUAUAAAUUUUCAGAGGUUCUUGUUUGCAAAUAGACGGUUAACUUUGCAUUCUUCAAGAUGUAUUUCCUCUUUUUUCCUAUUAGAUUAUGAGCUUAUUAUAACUUUACUCCAUAUAAUACAUUUUUUUAUGUUGGUUUAUUUUUCCUUCAAGCCAUGAGUGUUAAACAAUGAUUUAAGUUUCUUUUAACAAUGUAGAAGGGGAACUGGGGGGUUAACCUAUAUAAGCUCUUUUCAACAAAAAUUUAUUAGACUAUAGUAGCUGUUAGUUUGGGUCAAGUUUACACAAGAGAGACUAUUGCCAUUACAGUUACAAAGGCCAACUUCACUCAUUGUUCAUCAUGGCUAGAGUUGUUGAGGGAAUGAGGGUCAUUGAAGGUAUUUCAUGAACUAGUUUAGUAAUUUCAACUCAAUAGCAAUAGCGUUUCGACCCGUACCUUUUCGACGCGAACCUUUUAAACGCGAACCGUUUCGACCUGUACCGUUUCGACGCGAACCAUUUAGACGCGUACCGUUUCAACGCGAACCGUUUCGACCAGUACUGUUUCGAACCGACGCGAACCAUUUCGACCCGUACUGUUUUGAACCGACGCGAACCGUUUUGACCCGUACCGUUUCGACCAGUACCGUUUCGAAUCGAAAUGAAAUGUGCCAGAACUUUCCUUGCGUUAUUGAAAGACUGCACAUGCAGAUAAGAACACAUCAAGAUGGUGCCAGUGAGCAGCAAAUUAUGGACCAAAAAACAUGGCUUUGGAAGAAAAGAUAUGCCAAGAUGUCGAUCAACGCAAACAGUGAAUCUGAAAAUGAGGCAGAGGUAUUCUAGUAGCUCAUUUGCUUCAUUUGAUUAAAAAUAUUUUGUUUCGAUUAGUUUAUGUUGAUUUUAGUGAAAUCAGUUUCGGUGAUUGUUUCAGCGAUUGUGAAUUCAGUUGAUUGUUUCGAUUAGUUUUAGUUUUUUUUUAAGAACAAAAUCAGAACAUCGAUAUCAGAUCUGUUUCAUGUAUGUUUAAAUCGGCUGAAAGAAUAUUUUGAAUCGAUGAUCAGAUCUGAAUUAGUUUCAGUUUGAUGAUUAAGAUCUGAGUUUGGUUCGAAGAAGGAACUAAAUUAAAGAAAAUCUAGUUAUACACGCGCAUCACAGCUUAUUUUGUCCAAAGGAAAGAAUGCUGAAUCUGUUGAAGGGAUUACUGGCAGCUUGUCACUACAUUUAGUGCGGAAAAUGUGCACUACAUUACAAGCAAACGAUUCGGUAGUAUGCAAACCACCACCACCGCCGGUUCAGAUGAACCGUUGAAGCUCGCUCUAGCAAUGGCUCUUCUUCGUUCUAAGCUCGUGAACAAAACUUCUGAAACUUCUCAUCCUCCAUCUGAUACCUCCAGUUCUGAAGCUCUCAUAUGGAAACGCAAGGUACAUCCUCUCAUCUCUUCCCACUCACAACGUAUAGAUCUUGCAGAAACAGUCAGCUGAAUCGAAAUUAGCUUCGAUGAACGAUUUGAACAAACCUUCAGUUGAAUCGAAAUUAUCUUCGAAUUAGGUCAAAGUGACGUCACUGAGUUGUUAUUGACUUAUUGCAUAGUUUGUGAUGAUCAUGUGAAUAUUUAGGGCUUCUGUUUGUAUUUAUAAGUCAUAACAUCUUCCUCUUGCAAAAACUAUCAGGUGAAUCUGAAUUAGCUUCGAGUUAGGUUAAAGUUACAUACUUACAUCACUGAGUUGUUGUUAUUGACUUAUUGUGAAGUGAAUGGUCAUUUCACGACUAAACAACAAGACGAAUACGAAUAGAGGCCCAAAUGUAUUUGUUUAUUGGUGAUGUGUACAACCUGUUUGAUAAAAUGUUUGUGUAAAACUUUGAUAUUUUUUUAGUUUCUUUUUAACUUAAAAAAUAUUAAGGAAAAGUGUAUGGCUUGGGCAAUGGUAGUGACCCGUGUUUACAUAGCAAAGGAAAGAAGCCUUGAUCCCAAGACUAGCUGUGUCUUUUUCGACUAGUGAGUUGUUGCCUAGCCUUGGUCACUGAACUCGGAAGACCCUGAGGUAUUUUUAAUCCUUUUAGACUAAUAACUUUUGUGCAUUUGUAUCAUUUCCCACUGUUAUUAUGUUUGUUUGGUUUGCGAUGCUUGUUUUCUAUUGUUAGGUUUGAUGCUCUUAAAUUAGUGAGAAUGUUAAGGAAUUUCAUAUUGAUUUGAUUACACCUUCUUUACAGGUUGUUUCCAACAAAAAAAUGUUUUUAAAAUUAGUAUAAUUUCCUUCUUAAUAUGUAAACAAACUGGAACGUGCUAUUUAGCUUCUAGCACUUGAAUUGUAGCUCACAAUUGUAUUUUGUUUUCUUUACAACCGACUUGACCCAUUAUUACUUUUCGUUAAAUUCUGAUUUCUUGAUUCUAUUUAUUGGUUGUUUUGUAGAUUGAAAAGUUGAACUUAGUUAUCAAGGAGCUCGUUAAGGAGAAAGAUGAAGAAAAAGAAAGGUUUAAUAGAAUUAUUGCUGGGUUGUUGGCUGAAAAAGAAAAAGAUAAGGUGAAUAAAUAUGCUAUGCUUGAUAGGAUGUCACAAAUUGAAGUUAUGUUAACAGCUACAGUUCGAAGAUAGGUUAUAAAACACUUGGUUUUGAAUGUUUAGAUGUUUAUCUUAUUAGGGAAAUUUUAGUUAUUUUAUGUUUUAGUUGGUAUUUUUUAUAUGCUUUUGAAAACGAGAUGUUUCAUAUAAUUUUGGGAUUUUAUUAGACUUUUU